GGCUGUCUGUAGGGAGCAGGCGCAUGAAUGGCACAUUGUCUAUUACAGAGGCAUUGGCUGCAGUUCCAGAGUUAAAGGCAAAAUCCAGCUGUGCAAAGAGCAUCGACCCUCACCACGGUGCCCCUCAGAAUGCCACCUUGCCCGCCCAACAAACCUGCAGCAUUUGCCCUUCGAGAAGCCUGAGCAAUCCAUCAAGAAUGUCCCUUCCCCUCAUCGCAUGUAAACCUGUCUGUCUUCUUCACUCAAGACUGGAGUCUAAGAGGAAAGGUUUUUCAUCUGCCUGGCCUUCCAUGAUCCCCAAAUGCAGCCACAUAUCUGCCCACUCGGCUAGCUGCUGUGCCUGUUUCUUGAUGCAGAGGCUGCUUGAUGCUGAUUUUGUCCCUAAAAAAAGCCCUGAAGGCUCACUGGAUUAAAUCCUGCCCGGCCUCCGGUUCCUAUCAUGGCUGGAAUGAAACCUUGGGGGGAUUCAUGAGCAUCGCAGAAAUCCUGGUGGAGUCGAUGCCCUCAGCAUAAUUACCACUGGGAGGGCUCUGCUUUGUGGCCUCACUGGGCCUUUGGGCUGGAAGCAGUCAGAACUAGGGGUGGCCAUGGGACGUCAUGGCAGGGCAAGCUACAAGCUAGUUUUGUGGUGUUUUUCCCCAGCCCAGAACUGUCUCGUGGAUCGGUAUGAUCCACUGAUCCUGCACUCAAGUAGGAUGGAAAAGGGAAUCCUAUUUAUAAAGAUUUUACAGGUGUAACCAAUGGCUGUCAGCUCUUCCAUCUUCUUUGAGAGCAUCUCCAGCCCAUUUCCUCUGGGAAGCCUGGAAAUGGAAAUGCCCUUUGAUCCCUUGGGAUAAAAUCCGGGUCUCCAAAGGUGGAUCCUGGGAUGGCAGAGCUGCUGUCACUGGGACUCCAGAAGGGAGGAACCGUUUCUUCCACAGAGGUUUCCUGGCUCCGGCCAACGGAUUGCUGGUGGCAGUCUCACCCAGAGGCUAGCACUGGAUGCAGCUCGGCCUACCUUAAAAACACUAGGCUGGGCUCCAUUUUAAACUUGGAAGGCCUGGAUAGACUGGAAUCGAAUAGAAGGCUUGGCUGCAAAGGAACACUACAAAGCAUUCAAAACCUCCUUUGCCCUCUUCGGCUUUGAAAUUUGCCAAGGGACACGGGACUGACUGACUGACUGACUGACUGACUGACUGACCGACUGACCGACCGACCAACUGACUCUUGACGGACAUGAGGCUAUGGAUGGAUUGACUUAUCCAGCCAGUGGCCACAUAGUCAACAGAAGCUGGCCGGAAUGAGGCAGCGGCAGAGGAUUGCAGUGAGUGAAACAAGGAAAUACAGAAACACUACUCCCUACUGCCAUCUCGCCAUUGCCUGGAUGUUUGCAGCCAUCU